ACAGAAUAGUUCAACAGCCACACUGACAGGGGUUGGUUACUUGCUUCUGUCUCCAGCAGCCACACCAGCACCAUGAAGAGGCUGCUGUGUUCUCUGCUGUGUCUUCUGUGCACCCGAGUUUGCUGGGUGAAAGGACAGCAAGUGCAGCAGAGUCCUGUGUCCUUGGUUCUGCAGCAGGGAGAGACAGCAGAGCUGCAGUGCAGCUUUUCUACAGGUUUGAACAGUAUGCAGUGGUUUUACCAGAGUCCUGGGGGAAGCCUCGUCAGCCUGUUUUACAAUCCUUCUGGGACAAAGAAGAGUGGAAGACUGACAUCCACGACAGUCACAAAAGAACGUCGAAGCUCUUUGCACAUCUCCUCCUCCCAGACCACAGACUCAGGCACUUAUUUCUGUGCUAUGGAUGCACAGUGCUCCCCACACACCUGCAGCCUGUACACAAACCCUCAGCUGGGUGGGUGUGGCCCUUUGCAGUCACAAGAGAUCAGGAAGCUGCCACAGAACAUCUAUCUAGUUCAAUGUCUCUUUCCAGAGUUGGCAGUGUUUCUCCCUCAGUCAAGCUUUUGGCCUUGUUGGGUUCAGGAGUUUGGUGUUAAUACUCAUUUCUCAAUAUAUGUUCCCUCCUGAAACACAAAUGUUCAUCUUGAAAUGAACAGAGAAUCUGAUGGGAGGAAUGAGUCAACAUGAAAUUUGGAUACAUCAACAAAGCUUGUGUGUGUGUGUGUGUGUGUGUGUGUG